GUCUACGGCCAUACUGCCCUGAAAGCGCCCGACUGUCUGAUCUCAGAAGCUAACCAGGGUUGGGCCUGGUUAGUACUUGGAUGGGAGACUGCCUAGAAAUACGGGGUGCUGUAGGCU
rnacentral:rRNA from 1 species